CUUAGUUAACAUCUUAAAACUCCAAUAAUUCUUCCUAAAGUAGUAAAUACACAGUGUGCUUUAUAAACAAGUUGAAAAUUAUUAUGGUUCACUUUAGAAAUAGGAAUUUACAGACUGGCUGGGUUCAAAUAUUGACAUAAUGUGAUCCUUUGCCCUUAUUACCUGAUUGAAUUGAAGCAGAUCCCAGGAGCUUCAUGUAAGAAGAAGCCACAAGCCUCAAAAGAAGGAUUGAGGCAUUUGCUUUUGGGUUCUUGGUCACAACAUCUUUGCCUAAGCCAAUGUCUAGAAGGGUUUUUCUGAUGUUACCUUCUAGGAUUUUUAUGGUUUCAGGUCUUUGAUUUAAGUCUUUGAUCCAUCUUGAGUUGGUUUUUCAUAAGCUGAGAAAUGAGGAUCCAGUUUCAUUCUCCUACACGUGGCUUGCCAAUUAUCCCAGCACCAUUUGUUGAAUAGGGUGUCCUUUUCCCACUUUAUUUAUUUAUUUUUUCCUGUGUUGAAGUUCAGUUGGCUGUUAGUAUUCAGUUUUAUUUUUGGGUUCUCUAUUCUGCUCCAUUGGUCUAUGUACCUAUUUGUAUGCCAAUUCCAUACUGUUUUAUUGACUAUAGACUUGUAAAAUUGUUAGAAGUCUAGUAAUGUGAUGCCUCCAGAUUUGUUCUUGUCUUACUCCAUGACUAUUUUGCAUGUGUGAUUUAAUUUUUACAUACAUCUUUAUAAUUUAAUUAAAUUUAUUUAGGUGAUGAGAUGAAUAUCUAGUUUAUUUUAAAAAUAUAUAUUUUCCAUAUAUCACUCAAGUGAAAGGGCCAUCAUUGCUCGUUGAAAGUUAGAACUACUUCUAUGUUAAGAUUCAUGCUCUGGUUAGCUAAUACUAAAUUGGGUUUUAGAAGUUUGUUAUUCGUUGUUUACCUCAGUCAUCAUUUAAAAACCAACAUGUUAGUUUGUUUCCUUAGGAUUUAUGAAGGUUAAUACUGAGUGUCAACUUGAUUGGAUUGAAGGGUGCAAAGUAUUGUUCCUGGGUGUGUCUGUGAGGGUGUUGCUAAGAAAAUCAACAUUUGAGUCAGUGGACUGGGGAGUCAGACCCACCCUCAAUCUGGGUGGGUAUCAUUUGAUCAGCUGCCAGGGUGGCUAGAAUAAAGCAGGCAGAAGAAGGUGGAAUGAUCAGACUUGCUGAGUCUCCUGGCCUCCAUCUUUCUCCCGUGCUAAGUAUUUCCUGCCCUCGAACAUCAGACUCCAAUUUCUUCUGCUUUUGGACUCUUGGACUUACACCAGGGGUUUGCCAGGGGCUCUCAGGCCUUCAGCCACAGACUGAACGCUGCACUAUCAGCUUGUCUACUUUUGAGGUUUUGGGUCUUGGAAUGGCUUCUUUCUUCCUCACCUUGCAGACGGCCUAUGUGGCACUUCACCUUGUGAUCGUGUGAGUUAAUUCUCCUUAAUAAACUCCCUUCCACAUAUAUCCUAUUAGUUCUGUCACUCUAGAGAACCAUGACUAACACAGGAUUCCAAUGUAUUUAUCAUCAAAUCACUCCUCAAUUAAAAUCCGUGAGUUAUGACUUGGAUCCAGAACACUGCUCCCACUGAUCCUCCUAAGCCUGUUCCCUGUCAUCCAGAAACAUGCAGUAACAUGUGGUCACUCAACAAAAUGGACCUUCUCAGCAUAGCAGUCCCAUCAAUAAGGUAAUGGCAUGAAUCAAUGGGAAAGACUUGGAAGAACUCUUAAUUAAAGAAGCAACUGUUGAUAAAAAUUUCAUUUCCAAUGUAUUGCCAGAACACCAGACAUGCUGGUGGAGAGGGUGAGCAGUUCCCCAAAUCCCAACCCCUUCAUCAGGAACUGUGUUUCUCCAACUGCCUCCUGUUUCUUCUCAAACAGAUACGGAGUCUUUCAGUGAUCAGGUGAGCUCAAAACGCCUUACUGCAACUGCAGCACCUUCCAUAAACUUAGAAUCAUUUUCCCCAUUUCUUACCUAUUAAAGUGUUAGUCAAAGACUAAAAUUCUCCCUUCUUUUUUACACUAUAAUGUUCUUCUGACCUUUCUAAUCUAUCAAAAUAACCAGAUAAUAAAUUAGAUCUACAAUAAAAUUCAAAAACAGUAACAUUAUUUUUCUUGUCAUUAUAUGAUAAUGUUUUUACUUCAUGAGCCAAACAAAUAU
rnacentral:lncRNA from 10 species